rnacentral:rRNA from 1 species
UACGAAGGGGGCUAGCGUUGUUCGGAAUUACUGGGCGUAAAGCGCGCGCAGGCGGUCUUCCAAGUCAGUGGUGAAAGCCCGGAGCUCAACUCCGGAACUGCCAUUGAAGCUGUGAGACUUGAGUACGAGAGAGGUGAGUGGAAUUCCCAGUGUAGAGGUGAAAUUCGUAGAUAUUGGGAAGAACACCGGUGGCGAAGGCGGCUCACUGGCUCGUAACUGACGCUCAGGCGCGACAGCGUGGGGAUCAAACAGG